AGGACUUGCUCCGUAAGCCCAUGCCGGUCGAAGAUACCAGGCCGCUGCGACUGUUUAUUAAAAACACAGCACUCUGCAAACACGAAAGUGGACGUAUAGGGUGUGACGCCUGCCCGGUGCCGGAAGGUUAAUUGAUGGGGUUAGCGCAAGCGAAGCUCUUGAUCGAAGCCCCGGUAAACGGCGGCCGUAACUAUAACGGUCCUAAGGUAGCGAAAUUCCUUGUCGGGUAAGUUCCGACCUGCACGAAUGGCGUAACGAUGGCGGCGCUGUCUCCACCCGAGACUCAGUGAAAUUGAAAUCGCUGUGAAGAUGCAGUGUAUCCGCGGCUAGACGGAAAGACCCCGUGAACCUUUACUAUAGCUUUGCACUGGACUUUGAAUUUGCUUGUGUAGGAUAGGUGGGAGGCUUUGAAGUGGGGACGCCAGUUCUCAUGGAGCCAUCCUUGAAAUACCACCCUGGCAACUUUGAGGUUCUAACUCAGGUCCGUUAUCCGGAUCGAGGACAGUGUAUGGUGGGUAGUUUGACUGGGGCGGUCUCCUCCCAAAGAGUAACGGAGGAGUACGAAGGUGCGCUCAGACCGGUCGGAAAUCGGUCGUAGAGUAUAAAGGCAAAAGCGCGCUUGACUGCGAGACAAACACGUCGAGCAGGUACGAAAGUAGGUCUUAGUGAUCCGGUGGUUCUGUAUGGAAGGGCCAUCGCUCAACGGAUAAAAGGUACUCCGGGGAUAACAGGCUGAUACCGCCCAAGAGUUCAUAUCGACGGCGGUGUUUGGCACCUCGAUGUCGGCUCAUCACAUCCUGGGGCUGAAGCCGGUCCCAAGGGUAUGGCUGUUCGCCAUUUAAAGUGGUACGCGAGCUGGGUUUAGAACGUCGUGAGACAGUUCGGUCCCUAUCUGCCGUGGACGUUUGAGAUUUGAGAGGGGCUGCUCCUAGUACGAGAGGACCGGAGUGGACGAACCUCUGGUGUUCCGGUUGUCACGCCAGUGGCAUUGCCGGGUAGCUAUGUUCGGAAGAGAUAACCGCUGAAAGCAUCUAAGCGGGAAACUUGCCUCAAGAUGAGAUCUCACUGGGAUCUUGAAUCCCCUAAAGGGCCGUCGAAGACUACGACGUUGAUAGGUUGGGUGUGUAAGCGCUGUGAGGCGUUGAGCUAACCAAUACUAAUUGCCCGUGAGGCUUGACCAUAUAACACCCAAGCAAUUUG
rnacentral:rRNA from 1 species